rnacentral:lncRNA from 1 species
AAGGACGAAGGCCUGUGCAGCUACCCCAUCAACCCUGAAGGUUUACUUAAUUUUCAACUACGGGAUGUAUGCCUGUGUGCCUGCAGUGCUUGUGACAGCCAGAAGAGGGCGCCAAAUCCCCUGGAGCAGGAUUUACAGGCUCUUGUGAGCUGUCCUACUGAGAUGCUGAGAACAGAACUCGGGUCCUUUAGAAGAACCGUCUCUCCAUUCGUUUGUUUGUUUGUUUAGUAUUUAUUUUCACCUCUGUGCCCUCUAUCAUUCUGUCCUGCUUCUCUUUCUUUAAAUUGUUCUUGCAGGAUUUUCUUAUGGUGUCUUCCAGCUUAUAAAUUUCACAGCAAGAAGGCGGCCAUUCCUCCUCUCUGGUUUGUUGGCUGUCUCUUUUUCUACUUGCCUGUUUUAUGUGAUUUUCAAUUUAUUCUGUUUUUUUAGUCAUGGGACCCUGAAGAGUCUUGGCGUGAGUUUGU